rnacentral:rRNA from 1 species
GACCGGGAAAAGCUCAAAUUUGAAAUCUGGCUGUCUUCGAUAGUCCGAGUUGUAUUCUAUAGAAGCGUUUUCCGUGCUGAACUGUGUCUAAGUCCCUUGGAACAGGGUAUCAAAGAGGGUGAUAAUCCCGUACUUGACACAACCAUCAGUGCUCUGUGAUACGUUCUCUACGAGUCGAGUUGUUUGGGAAUGCAGCUCAAAAUGGGUGGUAAAUUCCAUCUAAAGCUAAAUAUUGGCGAGAGACCGAUAGCGAACAAGUACCGUGAGGGAAAGAUGAAAAGCACUUUGAAAAGAGAGUUAAACAGUACGUGAAAUUGUUGAAAGGGAAACGAUUGAAGUCAGUCGUGUUCAUUGGAUUCAGCUAGUUCUUCUAGUCUACUUCCUUUGAACGGGUCAACAUCAGUUUUGUCCGGUGGAUAAAGGAUUUAGGAAUGUGACUCCCUCGGGAGUGUUAUAGCCUAGGUUCACAUACACUGGGUGAGACUGAGGACUGCAGCUCGCCUUUUGGCCGGGGUUCGCCCACGUUCAAGCUUAGGAUGUUGACAUAAUGGCUUUAAACGACCCGUCUUGAAACACGGACCA